rnacentral:rRNA from 1 species
UACAGAGGUCCCAAGCGUUGUUCGGAUUCACUGGGCGUAAAGGGUGCGUAGGCGGUCGGGUAAGUCUGGCGUGAAAUCUCCAAGCCUAACUUGGAAACUGCGUUGGAUACUAUCCGGCUCGAGGAAUGGAGGGGAGACUGGAAUACUUGGUGUAGCAGUGAAAUGCGUAGAUAUCAAGUGGAACACCAGUGGCGAAGGCGAGUCUCUGGACAUUUCCUGACGCUGAGGCACGAAAGCCAGGGGAACAAACGGG